rnacentral:rRNA from 1 species
UUUCUCGUCCGAUCACCGAAGUUAAGCAAAGUCGAGCCUGGUCAGUACCGAGAUGGGUGACCGCUUGAAAAUACCAGAUGCUGUAA